UGUUUGUACGCCACCGUGAAAGCAUCUUGAUUUCUUCUGAUUUUGGAAGCUAAGCAGGGUCAGGCCUGGUUUCUACUAGGAUGGGAGACCAUGAAGGGACAAUAUACUACUCAAUAU
rnacentral:rRNA from 1 species